rnacentral:rRNA from 1 species
UGGGAAUCUUGCACAAUGGGCGAAAGCCUGAUGCAGCAACGCCGCGUGCGGGAAGACAGCCCUAGGGUUGUAAACCGCUUUCAGCAGGGAAGAAACUGACGGUACCUGCAGAAGAAGAUGCGGCCAACUACGUGCCAGCAGCCGCGGUGACACGUAGGCAUCAAGCGUUAUCCGGAUUUAUUGGGCGUAAAGAGCUCGUAGGCGGUUCGGUAAGUCGGGUGUGAAAACUCUGGGCUCAACCCAGAGAGGCCACUCGAUACUGCUGUGACUAGAGUGCGGUAGGGGAGCGGGGAAUUCCUGGUGUAGCGGUGAAAUGCGCAGAUAUCAGGAGGAACACCAGUGGCGAAGGCGCCGCUCUGGGCCGUAACUGACGCUGAGGAGCGAAAGCAUGGGUAGCAAACAGGAUUAGAUACCCUGGUAGUCCAUGCCGUAAACGUUGGGCACUAGGUGUGGGUCUCAACCAACGAGAUCCGCGCCGUCGCUAACGCAUUAAGUGCUCCGCCUGGGAGUACGGUCGCAAGAC